rnacentral:rRNA from 1 species
GACAGAGGGGGCAAGCGUUGCUCGGAAUUACUGGGCGUAAAGGGCGCGUAGGCGGGAUGGCAAGUCGGUCGUGAAAUCCCUCGGCUCAACUGAGGAUCGUCGAUCGAUACUGCCGUUCUUGAGGAUUGCAGAGGAGACUGGAAUUCCCGGUGUAGCGGUGAAAUGUGUAGAGAUCGGGAGGAACACCGGUGGCGAAGGCGGUUCUCUGGGCCUGUACUGACGCUGAGGAGCGAAAGCGUGGGGAGCGAACAGG